rfam:Triticum aestivum genome assembly, contig: Triticum_aestivum_CS42_TGACv1_scaffold_250582_3DL
GGUUUCGUAGUGUAGUGGUUAGCACUCCAGACUUUGAAUCUGGCGACCUGGGUUCAAAUCCCGGCGAGACCU